rnacentral:rRNA from 1 species
GCAGCAGUGGGGAUAUUGCACAAUGGGGGAAACCCUGAUGCAGCCAUGCCGCGUGUGUGAAGAAGGCCUUCGGGUUGUAAAGCACUUUCAGUAGGGAGGAAAGGGUGUAGUUUAAUACGCUAUAUCUGUGACGUUACCUACAGAAGAAGGACCGGCUAACUCCGUGCCAGCAGCCGCGGUAAUACGGAGGGUCCGAGCGUUAAUCGGAAUUACUGGGCGUAAAGCGUGCGCAGGCGGUUUGUUAAGCGAGAUGUGAAAGCCCUGGGCUCAACCUAGGAAUAGCAUUUCGAACUGGCGAACUAGAGUCUUGUAGAGGGGGGUAGAAUUCCAGGUGUAGCGGUGAAAUGCGUAGAGAUCUGGAGGAAUACCGGUGGCGAAGGCGGCCCCCUGGACAAAGACUGACGCUCAUGCACGAAAGCGUGGGGAGCAAACAGGAUUAGAUACCCUGGUAGUCCACGCCGUAAACGAUGUCUACUCGGAGUUUGGUGUCUUGAACACUGGGCUCUCAAGCUAACGCAUUAAGUAGACCGCCUGGGGAGUACGGCCGCAAGGUUAAAACUCAAAUGAAUUGACGGGCCCCCCCCCAA